CCUACGGGUGGCUGCAGUGGGGAAUAUUGGACAAUGGGGGCAACCCUGAUCCAGCCAUGCCGCGUGUGUGAAGAAGGCCCUCGGGUUGUAAAGCACUUUCAGUGAGGAAGAACGCCUGGUGGUUAAUACCCAUCAGUAAAGACAUCACUCACAGAAGAAGCACCGGCUAACUCCGUGCCAGCAGCCGCGGUAAUACGGAGGGUGCGAGCGUUAAUCGGAAUUACUGGGCGUAAAGCGCGCGUAGGUGGCUUGAUAAGCCGGUUGUGAAAGCCCCGGGCUCAACCUGGGAACGGCAUCCGGAACUGUCAAGCUAGAGUGCAGGAGAGGAAGGUAGAAUUCCCGGUGUAGCGGUGAAAUGCGUAGAGAUCGGGAGGAAUACCAGUGGCGAAGGCGGCCUUCUGGACUGACACUGACACUGAGGUGCGAAAGCGUGGGUAGCAAACAGGAUUAGAUACCCUUGUAGUC
rnacentral:rRNA from 1 species